rnacentral:rRNA from 1 species
AUUGAACGCUGGCGGCAGGCCUAACACAUGCAAGUCGAGCGGAUGAAGGGAGCUUGCUCCUGGAUUCAGCGGCGAACGGGUGAGUAAUGCCUAGGAAUCUGCCUGGUAGUGGGGGAUAACGUCCGGAAACGGGCGCUAAUACCGCAUACGUCCUGAGGGAGAAAGUGGGGGAUCUUCGGACCUCACGCUAUCAGAUGAGCCUAGGUCGGAUUAGCUAGUUGGUGGGGUAAAGGCCUACCAAGGCGACGAUCCGUAACUGGUCUGAGAGGAUGAUCAGUCACACUGGAACUGAGACACGGUCCAGACUCCUACGGGAGGCAGCAGUGGGGAAUAUUGGACAAUGGGCGAAAGCCUGAUCCAGCCAUGCCGCGUGUGUGAAGAAGGUCUUCGGAUUGUAAAGCACCUUAAGUUGGGAGGAAGGGCAGUAAGUUAAUACCUUGCUGUUUUGACGUUACCAACAGAAUAAGCACCGGCUAACUUCGUG